GGGAUAUUUAUAAAGAAAAUUAUUAGUGAUAAAGUUCAGAAGGCUCUUUUGAUUAUCCUUUUUGGCUUGCUCAGAGUUGGUUUUCUUUGCUAAGACCAAUUUUAAUUUAUUUGCCAGUUAAACUGUUAAGCAUAAAAAUUAGUAACAAUGUUACAUACUGAAGAUAAUGUCUUUCCGUCAGGAAGAGACUUAAUUUAACUGUAUAUUGUAAAAAAUUAAAGUGAACCAACACCUGAAGGGUUGAUUGUGCAGUAGGGUAAAAACGUGUGUAUUAUACUCAGAAAUCACUUUAAUAUAAACAGGAGAUUUCAGAAUCAUUUGUAAAAUAUAUUUACACUUCAUCUUGGAGACCAUGCAUCUAUAAUCAAGCAUUAUCAAUAUUUUUUUGAGAAAUUUCAUUAUUUGGUGUGUUCAAUUAGAGAACCAAUUCCUUAUCACCAUCUAAAAAGGAUGUUAUUGAUUAUUGA
rnacentral:lncRNA from 1 species